rnacentral:rRNA from 1 species
GAUGAACGCUGGCGGCGUGCCUAAUACAUGCAAGUCGAGCGAACGUACGAGAAGCUUUCUUCUCUGAUGUUAGCGGCGGACGGGUGAGUAACACGUGGAUAACCUACCUAUAAGACUGGGAUAACUUCGGGAAACCGUAGCUAAUACCGGAUAAUAUUUUGAACCACAUUGUUCAAAAGUGAAAGAAGGUCUUGCUGUCACUUAUAUAUGGAUCCGCGCUGCAUUAGCUAGUUGUUAAGGUAACGGCUUACCAAGGCAACGAUGCAUAGCCGACCUGAGAGGGUGAUCGGCCACACUGGAACUGAGACACGGUCCAGACUCCUACGGGAGGCAGCAGUAGGGAAUCUUCCGCAAUGGACGAAAGCCUGACGGAGCAACGCCGCGUGAGUGAUGAAGGUCUUCGGAUCGUAAAACUCUGUUAUUAGGGAAGAACAUAUGUGUAAGUAACUGUGCACCUCUUGACGGUACCUAAUCAGAAAGCCACGGCUAACUACGUG